rnacentral:sRNA from 1 species
UGCGUGAUGGGAUAGGAGCGGCAUCCUUUUGGGGCUGGGGUUGUAGCCCUGAACAGGAACAUUAUUCUUUAUUUCUUCUUACUUAUUUUUUAGAAAGGAAGGCUCGCUAACAGCACCAAAAGAUACAGCGGAUAGCCCGACCCCUG